GCUCCCUGCUGUGAAUCAUUCAGUUAAUUGGUCUGUAAUGUGAAAAGCAGUAUGUUGCUGCUGAGAGUGACCGAAGGGUGAAAUGAGACUGAGGAGACUUCCAUUGCUAUAAAUCAUUUCUUGGGAACGAGAUGAACAUGAAGAGUUGUGUUGGCCUAAGAAGAACCUUUGAUCAAUUAUCCAGAGGUCAACAGCUUCAUUUUUCAUACUUGCCAGUGGUAUUUCCAGAGGGAAAACCAAGGCACCAUUACUAAGGAUGUUUAAGCUUCCCCUUCAUGCUAUUUGAGCAGCUCCAGGAAUUAGAACUGUCAAUACUGCACUCCAAAGGAAUCAAAUUGCAAGUGACCAGUCUCCUGUUCCCAAAGCCCUUUUCAGCCAGCAUUCUACUCAAAGCUCCCAGCUCAUCUCAGCCCUAUAUUACAUGUAUUUUUCUGGCUACAUCUGCACUCCCUUGCUUCUGUUACUAGGCAUUUUAGUGUGCCUGCUUCUCACACAUAGAUGAUGGACAGCUGCAGUCAACCCCAUCUUGCAGAUGUGGAAUUUUAUUCUUAUAUCAAGUCCAUGGGGAGUCUAUCGGACUACUUCCAUGGCCUGGGCUUGCAGACCGUCUAUUUCAUGGAAAGUUGCCUUCCAUUGUUUCAGCUGCUGGUAACAAAAAAGACAUUUUAAUGUCUCUAAAAGGAAGUUGGCUAUCGUGCCCCAAAUUUCAACACAGUGUUACGACGAUUCAACUUUUACCAUAAUGACAUCACUACUAGUAUAAUGUUCAUUCUUAUAUAUUGCUUUUCCUCCGUAGAUAUCUGCAAUAAAUAUCAUUAAUCCUACUGUACAAAUGGAAAAACUGAUGUACUGGGAAGCAACUUGCUCAAAAUCAUGCAGCAUCUAGUGGCAAAACAGAGGAUGGAUUCAGGUCUCUCGGGAAACAGCUCUCUGCUCUCUCC